AUUGAACGCUGGCGGCAUGCUUUACACAUGCCAGUCGAACGGUAACAGGCCUUCGGGUGCUGACGAGUGGCGAACGGGUGAGUAAUGCAUCGGAACGUACCCAGAGGUGGGGGAUAUCGCAGCGAAAGCUGUGCUAAUACCGCAUGUGAUCUGAGGAUGAAAGCGGGGGACCGAGCAGCAAUGUUUGGCCUCGCGCCUUUGGAGCGGCCGAUGUCGGAUUAGCUAGUUGGUGGGGUAAAGGCCUACCAAGGCGACGAUCCGUAGCUGGUCUGAGAGGACGACCAGCCACACUGGGACUGAGACACGGCCCAGACUCCUACGGGAGGCAGCAGUGGGGAAUUUUGGACAAUGGGCGCAAGCCUGAUCCAGCAAUGCCGCGUGCGGGAAGAAGGCCUUCGGGUUGUAAACCGCUUUUGGCAGGAACGAAACGGUGUCCGCUAAUACCGGGCGCUAAUGACGGUACCUGCAGAAUAAGCACCGGCUAACUACGUG
rnacentral:rRNA from 1 species